AAGUUUCAGGGAUUCUGUGCAAUGCUACGACGCUACACGAUAACGUUGGGGGUUCGGGCUGGCUUGGGCACCUCAUAUCGGAACGCCAUCGCUAGUACAACAGAGCUGCCGGCACGGAGCAAACCCAGGCGACAUAGAAAGCUUUAUCAGCUGACGAUGCGUGAGGAAUAUGAGGAAGGGAUUCGCGAUUUCCUUCCACCUCGGCCGCUUCUUCCAGUUGGGUGGAGGAUGGAGCACGCAUCUGGAUCAAACCGUUUUGAUUUAUUCAAAAACGUUGAAGUUCGUCAUUGCGGAGCUGAGGAGCUACACGCAAUCACUUUGAUGGAGACGAAGCAGUACGAGGGAACAUAUCGCAUGGACAACGGCGAGCGUGAAGAGCAAGAGUACCUCAACUUUGGCUUGUUUAUGCGCAAAAAAAGGUAUCCAGCAGGGGGACUUGAGUUCAGCCUCACUUCGAUUGACCUGGAGCUCGUGAUGGAUGCACUUACAAUUCAUCCUUCAGAAGAGGCGUUUGAGAGCGCAAAGGCGUGCUACGGCCGCAAUGACGCUGCUGCGGCAAAAAGGGAUAUGUACGGCUCCUCUGGUGAUGCACGCCGUCGGUGCGCUUCCAAAUAUAGAGGCCCAAUGCUCAGUGAGCUUGAUGACGACCUUUCCGACGAAAUUCUCGACUACCUGGAUGAGCGUGGAGUAAACAAUGCCUUUGCCGAGUUUGUCAUGGCUCAAGCCUUCUUUUUUGAGCAGGAGGAGUAUAUCAACUGGCUACGACUCCUGAGGAAGUUCUCUGAUUAGCGAAGCGCUUCUUUCGUUCAUGUGGCCACAGAGCACUCUCUCUUUUCAUCCAUGGCACUUUUGGGUCUUUCGCAUUGCGCUACAAGCGGG
rnacentral:misc_RNA from 1 species